GGAAUUUUCCGCAAUGGGCGAAAGCCUGACGGAGCAAUCUCGCGUGAGGGAUGACGGCCUAUGGGUUGUAAACCUCUUUUUUCAGGGAGGAAUAACUGACGUGUACCUGAAGAAUAAGCAUCGGCUAACUCCGUGCCAGCAGCCGCGGUAAGACGGAGGAUGCAAGUGUUAUCCGGAAUCACUGGGCGUAAAGCGUCUGUAGGUGGCUUAAUAAGUCAACUGUUAAAUCUUGAAGCUCAACUUCAAAAUCGCAGUCGAAACUAUUAGACUAGAGUAUAGUAGGGGUAAGGGAAUUUCCAGUGGAGCGGUGAAAUGCGUAGAGAUUGGAAAGAACACCGAUGGCGAAGGCACUUUACUGGGCUAUUACUAACACUCAGAGACGAAAGCUAGGGUAGCAAAUGGGAUUAGAUACCCCUGUAGUC
rnacentral:rRNA from 1 species